rnacentral:rRNA from 1 species
AUUGAGCGCUGGCGGAAUGCUUUACACAUGCAAGUCGAACGGCAGCACGGACUUCGGUCUGGUGGCGAGUGGCGAACGGGUGAGUAAUGUAUCGGAACGUGCCCAGUCGUGGGGGAUAACGUAGUGAAAAUUACGCUAAUACCGCAUACGAUCUAUGGAUGAAAGCGGGGGAUCGCAAGACCUCGCGCGAUUGGAGCGGCCGAUAUCAGAUUAGGUAGUUGGUGGGGUAAAGGCCCACCAAGCCAACGAUCUGUAGCUGGUCUGAGAGGACGACCAGCCACACUGGAACUGAGAAACGGUCCAGAAGCCUACGGGAGGCAGCAGUGGGGAAUUUUGGACAAUGGGCGAAAGCCUGAUCCAGCCAUUCCGCGUGCAGGAUGAAGGCCCUCGGGUUGUAAACUGCUUUUGUACAGAACGAAAAGGUUUCUACUAAUACUAGGAGCUCAUGACGGUACUGUAAGAAUAAGCACCGGCUAACUACGUGCCAGCCGCCGCCGUAA